GAGCUCACUGGGUGACCUUGGGCUGCUCUCCCCAGCAGAAAGGUGUGUGCGUGUGCACGUGUGUGAAGAGGUGAGUAUGGUGAAUUAUUUCUGCUUGAAGACCAUCUUUGAUUUGAAUACCUGCACAUUUGUUAAUUUCAGAUAAUUGCUUGGAUCCUAACUAACCCCCUAUGAACAGAGGUGCUCCUUCUGCUCGUGGAAGAAACUGGGAUCCAGCUGGAGUGCAGAAGUGAGGCAGCAUUUUCCGCUGACCUCCCAUUCUCCUUGCAACCCCCUGUACCACUUCAAGGGGCAGCAAGGGGAAGAGAACAGCGAACGUCACCUUUUCCCUUCCCUCCUUAUGCCCUUUGGGAUGGUGAUUACAUGGGAAGGGCCCUUCAAAUGCUACAGCAGCAGCACAAGAUGAAAUGAUGGCCAUGUGGUUCCCAUGGAGCUAUGAAGUGUACCUGGGUCUCCCUGCAGAUGAGGACCUAUACAUAGAAACUUUAUUUGCAUUAGCCACUAGCCAUAGCAAUAAAAUAAAACAAACAGGUCCUAUGGAAGCAAGGGGAAUGAGAUUCCAGUUGCAAAUGGUGGCCUGCAAGAGUCUUUUAAAAGAUCUAUCUGGGCACUAUCUGGAGCCUUUGCCUAUUCUGAUUGGUAGUCAAAAUUCCUGACCAUUCCAAAUAGUUUCUAACUCUAGAAGUAUUCUAGAGUUGGAAGAAGCAUAAAAGCCACCAAGCCCAACCAUCUCCCUUAAGACUGAGACAUCUAUUUAUUUGUGCCCCCACAGCCCUCCACCCGCCUGCCGUCUGGACGCCCAUAUGCCACUUAAGGAAGCUUCAUUCCAAUAAAGUCUUAGACCAGUUACCUGCUUAUGGGCAAAUAAGUUCCAGUGGCUUAGAUGGGUGAGACAAACAACUUUCAGGUGAGGUGGGGAAGGGGAAGUGUUGGCUCCUCGUUCCAGUAUCAGCUGUUCCCCAACACCCCUGAAUCAGAUGUCAGGCCAAAAUAAAAAGCUUCAAAUAAUUCCCUCAUGGUGACUUAGGUGGUUGAGUGCUGACAAGAUCAGAGCCCAAACAGGGCAGCUUAAAAAUAAAAAGGGGUGUGUGUAUGUAUCAGCAUUCUCGGUUGAAUCCUGAGCUAUACAGAAGUACAAAGCAAAAGGGUCACUUCCAUCAAAACCAGCCCAACGGCAAUUAAACAUGCCCAGUUGCUUCCAGGAACCAUGCAAUACUGAGUACCAUAUUGGUCCGAAUAUAAGACACACCCGCAAAUAAGCCACACCUUUAAAUUUCAAGGCUUAUUUGCGGGUGCGGCCUGCCUCCCGGCACUCCCUCCCCAAGCUGCCAAGCGGGACACCAAGCGGCAGCCGCCCCCGUCCCCCAUUCAGGGCGGUCAUGCCGGGAGGCGGGCGCACAGCGCUCGGUUCCAAAUAUAAGAUGCACUUCAACUUUUCAAAGUCCGAAUUUGGGGGAAAGUGCGGCUUGUAUUCGGGCCAAUAUGGUAUUAGUUGGAAACAAAAAAAUGAAAACCGGAGAGGCAGGAGAGUGCACUGGCCUAUUUGAUCCCUUUUACAGUUGAUCCUGGAGGAGGAAAAGAGCAAGGAUGGCUGGUGGACUUGCAGGAAUCCAGAGUAGGAAUACUCUUCUUAGGGUGUGAGGAAGAUACAUUGCAACACUUCGUUGUAGGUCCUACUAAUCCUAUAAAAGCUGAUUACAAUGCUGCAAAGCACAAAGGAUUAGUUACAAAUGAAAUUAACAAUACUUGUUCAUGAAAAAAAGCAUUCUGAAUAAAUCUUAAAGUAAUAAUUAAAAGAUGACAAAAAGAAAACAUGCCAAUUUAACCAUGUGUUUAAUGGAUAAAAUGCCAAAUUACAGCCCUCUGUGUUAUAACAUCCCACACUGUGCCAGAAUUUUCUUCAAUUCUCAGUAUAAAUUUUUGUGGGGAGAAUGGCUGUGGGGAGGGAUAAUGAUUGAAAAUCAAGCAUCCUGCCUGAAGACCUUCCCCUAGCACAAAACUGCCAUUGGCUACCUGCACCAAAACGACUACCCCAAAAUAAAGAAUAAGGCUGCACUCCUAACCAGGGGUGGCUGAACAUGCCAAUUUCAGUUUUGCUCAGUUUCUCAUUUUUCCACUCUUGAGUUUAGUUCUCCACAUUUCUAUAUUGGUUUGUGAUUUUUUU